GAUGAGAACGCAGCGAAAUGCGAUAAGUAAUGUGAAUUGCAGAAUUCAGUGAAUCAUCGAAUCUUUGAACGCACAUUGCGCCCGCCAGUAUUCUGGCGAGCAUGCCUGUUCGGGCGUCAUUUCAACCAUCAAGCCCCAGGCUUGUGUUGGAGCCCUGCGGCUGCCGCAGCCUCCCAAAACCAGUGGCGGGCUCGCUAUCACACCGAGUGCAGUAGUUUACUCUUCGCUCAGGGCGUGUGGCGGGUGCUAGCCGUGAAACCCCCAACUUCUCAAGGUUGACCUCGGAUCAGGUAGGAAUACCCGCUGAACUUAAGCAUAUCAAUAAGCGGAGGA
rnacentral:misc_RNA from 1 species